GAGGAAUAUUGGUCAAUGGGCUUACGCCUGAACCAGCCAAGUCGCGUGAGGGAAGACUGCCCUAUGGGUUGUAAACCUCUUUUGUCAGGGAGCAAUUGGCGCUACGUGUAGCGUUAUCGAGAGUACCUGAAGAAAAAGCAUCGGCUAACUCC
rnacentral:rRNA from 1 species